rnacentral:rRNA from 1 species
GAUUAAGUUAUUAAGGGCGCACGGUGGAUGCCUUGGCACUAGAAGCCGAUGAAGGACGUUACUAACGACGAUAUGCUUUGGGGAGCUGUAAGUAAGCUUUGAUCCAGAGAUUUCCGAAUGGGGAAACCCAGCAUGAGUUAUGUCAUGUUAUCGAUAUGUGAAUACAUAGCAUAUCAGAAGGCACACCCGGAGAACUGAAACAUCUUAGUACCCGGAGGAAGAGAAAGAAAAUUCGAUUCCCUUAGUAGCGGCGAGCGAAACGGGAAGAGCCCAAACCAACAAGCUUGCUUGUUGGGGUUGUAGGACACUCUAUACGGAGUUACAAAGGACGACAUUAGACGAAUCAUCUGGAAAGAUGAAUCAAAGAAGGUAAUAAUCCUGUAGUCGAAAAUGUUGUCUCUCUUGAGUGGAUCCUGAGUACGACGGAGCACGUGAAAUUCCGUCGGAAUCUGGGAGGACCAUCUCCUAAGGCUAAAUACUCUCUAGUGACCGAUAGUGAACCAGUACCGUGAGGGAAAGGUGAAAAGCACCCCGGAAGGGGAGUGAAAUAGAACCUGAAACCGUGUGCUUACAAGUAGUCAGAGCCCGUUAAUGGGUGAUGGCGUGCCUUUUGUAGAAUGAACCGGCGAGUUACGAUUUGAUGCAAGGUUAAGCAGUAAAUGUGGAGCCGUAGCGAAAGCGAGUCUGAAUAGGGCGUUUAGUAUUUGGUCGUAGACCCGAAACCAGGUGAUCUACCCUUGGUCAGGUUGAAGUUCAGGUAACACUGAAUGGAGGACCGAACCGACUUACGUUGAAAAGUGAGCGGAUGAACUGAGGGUAGCGGAGAAAUUCCAAUCGAACCUGGAGAUAGCUGGUUCUCUCCGAAAUAGCUUUAGGGCUAGCCUCAAGUGAUGAUUAUUGGAGGUAGAGCACUGUUUGGACGAGGGGCCCCUCUCGGGUUACCGAAUUCAGACAAACUCCGAAUGCCAAUUAAUUUAACUUGGGAGUCAGAACAUGGGUGAUAAGGUCCGUGUUCGAAAGGGAAACAGCCCAGACCACCAGCUAAGGUCCCAAAAUAUAUGUUAAGUGGAAAAGGAUGUGGCGUUGCCCAGACAACUAGGAUGUUGGCUUAGAAGCAGCCAUCAUUUAAAGAGUGCGUAAUAGCUCACUAGUCGAGUGACACUGCGCCGAAAAUGUACCGGGGCUAAACAUAUUACCGAAGCUGUGGAUUGUCCUUUGGACAAUGGUAGGAGAGCGUUCUAAGGGCGUUGAAGCAUGAUCGUAAGGACAUGUGGAGCGCUUAGAAGUGAGAAUGCCGGUGUGAGUAGCGAAAGACGGGUGAGAAUCCCGUCCACCGAUUGACUAAGGUUUCCAGAGGAAGGCUCGUCCGCUCUGGGUUAGUCGGGUCCUAAGCUGAGGCCGACAGGCGUAGGCGAUGGAUAACAGGUUGAUAUUCCUGUACCACCUAUAAUCGUUUUAAUCGAUGGGGGGACGCAGUAGGAUAGGCGAAGCGUGCGAUUGGAUUGCACGUCUAAGCAGUAAGGCUGAGUAUUAGGCAAAUCCGGUACUCGUUAAGGCUGAGCUGUGAUGGGGAGAAGACAUUGUGUCUUCGAGUCGUUGAUUUCACACUGCCGAGAAAAGCCUCUAGAUAGAAAAUAGGUGCCCGUACCGCAAACCGACACAGGUAGUCAAGAUGAGAAUUCUAAGGUGAGCGAGCGAACUCUCGUUAAGGAACUCGGCAAAAUGACCCCGUAACUUCGGGAGAAGGGGUGCUCUUUAGGGUUAACGCCCAGAAGAGCCGCAGUGAAUAGGCCCAAGCGACUGUUUAUCAAAAACACAGGUCUCUGCUAAACCGUAAGGUGAUGUAUAGGGGCUGACGCCUGCCCGGUGCUGGAAGGUUAAGAGGAGUGGUUAGCUUCUGCGAAGCUACGAAUCGAAGCCCCAGUAAACGGCGGCCGUAACUAUAACGGUCCUAAGGUAGCGAAAUUCCUUGUCGGGUAAGUUCCGACCCGCACGAAAGGCGUAACGAUUUGGGCACUGUCUCAACGAGAGACUCGGUGAAAUCAUAGUACCUGUGAAGAUGCAGGUUACCCGCGACAGGACGGAAAGACCCCGUGGAGCUUUACUGUAGCCUGAUAUUGAAAUUCGGCACAGCUUGUACAGGAUAGGUAGGAGCCUUUGAAACGUGAGCGCUAGCUUACGUGGAGGCGCUGGUGGGAUACUACCCUAGCUGUGUUGGCUUUCUAACCCGCACCACUUAUCGUGGUGGGAGACAGUGUCAGGCGGGCAGUUUGACUGGGGCGGUCGCCUCCUAAAAGGUAACGGAGGCGCUCAAAGGUUUCCUCAGAAUGGUUGGAAAUCAUUCAUAGAGUGUAAAGGCAUAAGGGAGCUUGACUGCGAGACCUACAAGUCGAGCAGGGUCGAAAGACGGACUUAGUGAUCCGGUGGUUCCGCAUGGAAGGGCCAUCGCUCAACGGAUAAAAGCUACCCCGGGGAUAACAGGCUUAUCUCCCCCAAGAGUUCACAUCGACGGGGAGGUUUGGCACCUCGAUGUCGGCUCAUCGCAUCCUGGGGCUGUAGUCGGUCCCAAGGGUUGGGCUGUUCGCCCAUUAAAGCGGUACGCGAGCUGGGUUCAGAACGUCGUGAGACAGUUCGGUCCCUAUCCGUCGUGGGCGUAGGAAAUUUGAGAGGAGCUGUCCUUAGUACGAGAGGACCGGGAUGGACAUACCUCUGGUGUACCAGUUGUCGUGCCAACGGCAUAGCUGGGUAGCUAUGUGUGGACGGGAUAAGUGCUGAAAGCAUCUAAGCAUGAAGCCCCCCUCAAGAUGAGAUUUCCCAACUUCGGUUAUAAGAUCCCUCAAAGAUGAUGAGGUUAAUAGGUUCGAGGUGGAAGCAUGGUGACAUGUGGAGCUGACGAAUACUAAUCGAUCGAAGACUUAAUCAA